rnacentral:rRNA from 1 species
UACGAAGGGGGCUAGCGUUGUUCGGAAUCACUGGGCGUAAAGGGCUCGUAGGCGGCCAACUAAGUCAUACGUGAAAUCCCUCGGCUUAACCGGGGAACUGCGUCUGAUACUGGAUGGCUUGAAUCCGGGAGAGGGAUGCAGAAUUCCAGGUGUAGCGGUGAAAUGCGUAGAUAUCUGGAGGAAUACCGGUGGCGAAGGCGGCAUCCUGGACCGGCAUUGACGCUGAGGAGCGAAAGCUAGGGGAGCAAACGGG